rfam:Triticum aestivum genome assembly, contig: Triticum_aestivum_CS42_TGACv1_scaffold_033836_1BL
GUUAUAUUCCUUCCGCCCCGAAUUAGUUGUUUUAAAUUUGUUUAGAUACGGAUCUAUCUAGACACGUCUUAGUGUUAUGUACAUCCGAAUCUAGACAAAUCUAAGACAACUAAUUUGGGACGGAGGUAAUAUUAU